CGAUCCAAUCGCUGGGCCGCGGGAGAUACUGUCAGGCUACGGGAUGGGAGAGGCCGAUGGUAUCCCGGGGUAGGGGUGAAAUCCUAUAAUCCCGGGAGGACCACCAGUGGCGAAGGCGGUCGGCCAGAACAGGCUCGACGGUGAGGGACGAAAGCUGGGGGAGCGAACCGGAUUAGAUACCCGGGUAGUCCCAGCUGUAAACGAUGCGGGCUAGGUGUCGGGGCGGCCAUGAGCCGCUUUGGUGCCGCAGGGAAGCCAUUAAGCCCGCCGCCUGGGAAGUACGGCCGCAAGGCUGAAACUUAAAGGAAUUGGCGGGGGAGCACCACAAGGCGUGAAGCUUGCGGUUCAAUUGGAGUCAACGCCGGGAACCUUACCGGGGGCGACAGCAGGAUGAGGGCCAGAUUGAAGGUCUUGCUGGACGAGCUGAGAGGAGGUGCAUGGCCGUCGCCAGUUCGUGCCGUGAGGUGUCCUGUUAAGUCAGGCAACGAUCGAGACCCGCACCCCUAGUUGCUAUCGGAUCCCAACGGAAUCCGAGCACACUAGAGGAACCGCCACCGAUAAGGUGGAGGAAGGAGCGGUCCACGGCAGGUCAGUAUGCCCCGAAUCCCCCGGGCCACACGCGAGCUGCAAUGGCAGGGACAAUGGGCUCCAACCCCGAGAGGGGAAGGUAAUCCCCAAACCCUGCCUCAGUUGGGAUCGGGGGCUGCAACCCGCCCCCGUGAACAUGGAAUGCC
rnacentral:rRNA from 1 species